CAGUAGCCGCGGUAAUACGUAGGUCCCGAGCGUUGUCCGGAUUUAUUGGGUGUAAAGGGAGCGUAGACGGUUAAACAAGUCUGAAGUGAAAUGCCGGGGCUCAACCCCGGAGCUGCUUUGGGAACUGUAGAACUGGAGUGUCGGAGGGGUAAGCGGAAUUCCCAGUGUAGCGGUGAAAUGCGUAGAUAUUGGGAGGAACACCGGCGGCGAAGGCGGCUUACUGGACGACAACUGACGUUGAGGCUCGAAGGCGUGGGUAGCAAACAGGAUUAGAUACCCCUGUAGUCCCUGUCUCUUAUAC
rnacentral:rRNA from 1 species